AAUGAGGAAACCAAAAAGCAAGUGGGAGGGAUGGCCUCUUAUCUCCAGAUCUUCAGAUUGAGAUGUUCAUAAGCCAACAAGUUUUUUCUGGGCUUGAUGAACGUGGCAGAAUGAUGUUCAACAGCCUGUGUUGCAUCGGAGAUCCAACAAAGUGAUCUCCUCUGCCUUUAAAAUGUAUGAAGCUGCAAAAUCUUAAGGGCAUAUCAACUUACUUUGAUUGCAGGGCUGAGAUCUUGGAAGACGUAUUCCUUUAAUUUCCUUGAGCUGGUUGCUUUCCCCGUGAAGGACAUGCACAGAGUGGCACAAGAGAUCCCUGCCAGAUGCAUGACUUGUGGAGGCAGCUCCCACAUGAGUGGAAGAGUCUGCAGCAGGACGAGGACCAAAAGCUGUGAAAUACAGCACUGGAAAGCAACUCCUUAAAAUAAACACAUCCAUGGAAAACUACUGCUUUUUAACACUAUUGCUGAACAACUUUCAAUGCCCAGGAAUGACCUCUGGCACUGCUUAAUUUAUAGGGACGGGGAAAGCGGAUCCCCUCCAGCUC